GACGAACGCUGGCGGCGUGCCUAAUACGUGCAAGUCGAGCGGAUGACAGAGGAGCUUGCUCCUCUAGAUUCAGCGGCGGACGGGUGAGUAACACGUGGGUAACCUGCCCUGUAGAUUGGGAUAACUCCGGGAAACCGGGGCUAAUACCGAAUAAUCCUUCGGACCUCAUGGUCCGAUGUUGAAAGACGGCUUCGGCUGUCACUACAGGAUGGGCCCGCGGCGCAUUAGCUAGUUGGUGAGGUAACGGCUCACCAAGGCCACGAUGCGUAGCCGACCUGAGAGGGUGAUCGGCCACACUGGGACUGAGACACGGCCCAGACUCCUACGGGAGGCAGCAGUAGGGAAUCUUCCACAAUGGACGAAAGUCUGAUGGAGCAACGCCGCGUGAGUGAAGAAGGUUCUCGGAUCGUAAAACUCUGUUGUGAGGGAAGAACAAGUACCGGAGUAACUGCCGGUACCUUGACGGUACCUCAUUAGAAAGCCACGGCUAACUACGUGCCAGCAGCCGCGGUAACAC
rnacentral:rRNA from 1 species